GCGGGUAUCGUAUAGUGGCUAUUACUCCAGCCUUCCAAGUUGGAGAGAGGGGUUCGAUUCCCCUUACCCGCUCCA
rnacentral:tRNA from 1 species